CAGUCGCCGCGGGAAUACGUAGGGUGCAAGCGUUAAUCGGAAUUACUGGGCGUAAAGCGUGCGCAGGCGGUUUGUUAAGACAGAUGUGAAAUCCCCGGGCUCAACCUGGGAACUGCAUUUGUGACUGGCAAGCUAGAGUGUGGCAGAGGGGGGUGGAAUUCCGCGUGUAGCAGUGAAAUGCGUAGAUAUGCGGAGGAACACCGAUGGCGAAGGCAGCCCCCUGGGCCAACACUGACGCUCAUGCACGAAAGCGUGGGGAGCAAACAGGAUUAGAUACCCGAGUGUCCCUGUCUCUUAUACA
rnacentral:rRNA from 1 species